UGGUCAUUCGGUUGAAGUGGAGA
rnacentral:siRNA from 1 species